rnacentral:rRNA from 1 species
UACGAAGGGGGGCUAGCGUUGCUCGGAUUGACUGGGCGUAAAGGGCGCGUAGGCGGUUCGUACAGUCAGACGUGAAAAUUCCUGGGCUCAACCUGGGGGCUGCGUUUGAUACGUGCGGACUUGAGUGCGGAAGAGGGUCGUGGAAUUCCCAGUGUAGAGGUGAAAUUCGUAGAUAUUGGGAAGAGCACCGGUGGCGAAGGCGGCGACCUGGUCCGAUACUGACGCUGAGGCGCGAAAGCGUGGGGAGCAAACAGG